GACGAACGCUGGCGGCGCGCUUAACACAUGCAAGUCGAACGUGAAGCUGGAGCUUGCUCCGGUGGAAAGUGGCGAACGGGUGCGUAACACGUGAGCAACCUGCCCCGAAGACUGGGAUAACACCGGGAAACCGGUGCUAAUACCGGAUACCUUUUUCCGAUCGCAUGGUUGGAUAAAGAAAUGGAUUCCGCUUCGGGAUGGGCUCGCGGCCUAUCAGCUUGUUGGNGAGGUAACGGCCCACCAAGGCGACGACGGGUAGCUGGUCUGAGAGGACGACCAGCCACACUGGGACUGAGACACGGCCCAGACUCCUACGGGAGGCAGCAGUGGGGAAUCUUGCUCAAUGGGCGAAAGCCUGAAGCAGCGA
rnacentral:rRNA from 1 species